rnacentral:rRNA from 1 species
GACGAACGCUGGCGGCGUGCUUAACACAUGCAAGUCGAACGGAAAGGCCCUGCUUUUGUGGGGGGCUCGAGUGGCGAAAGGGUGAGUAACACGUGAGUAACCUGCCCUUGACUUUGGGAUAACUUCAGGAAACUGGGGCUAAUACCGGAUAGGAGCUCCUGCUGCAUGGUGGGGGUUGGAAAGUUUCGGCGGUUGGGGAUGGACUCGCGGCUUAUCAGCUUGUUGGUGGGGUAGUGGCUUACCAAGGCUUUGACGGGUAGCCGGCCUGAGAGGGUGACCGGCCACAUUGGGACUGAGAUACGGCCCAGACUCCUACGGGAGGCAGCAGUGGGGAAUAUUGCACAAUGGGCGGAAGCCUGAUGCAGCAACGCCGCGUGCGGGAUGACGGCCUUCGGGUUGUAAACCGCUUUCGCCUGUGACGAAGCGUGAGUGACGGUAAUGGGUAAAGAAGCACCGGCUAACUACGUG